ACUGUCUGAGUGCUCAGACAGUGGAAAACAGCUUUCAACUUUUCUUAACAUUGGUCUUGCUAGCUGAGGAUAUGCUUUUCCUGAGUACCUGAAGUCUCUUGGAAAAAACAGACCUUGACUGGCGUCUCACUGAAAGUGGAUCCUAAAGACAAUGCAUGGUAUGCCAAUGCCAAAGUACAAAUCAGGGAUGAUGGCCUGGAAGACAUCAGUUUAGAUGAGCAAAGUUAUGUUUUGACUUGCAAACAUUUGAAUGACAGUUGCAUCUUAAUAACAUGCAAUAACAAAAAUGGACUGUCUGUCCAGAACCUGCAGCUGAGCAACGCUGUAUGGAUCCUCAUACAGACAUCUUCUGACACUUCCCAGAAGGCAGUUGAUGUAGGAUCCACUGGUGUCAGUGAGAACAGCAAGAGCAAGGAGAAGACAGAAGCUUACCUGAUCAAGAAAGAGUGAGCCUACCUGGUUCCCAUCUGGGAAACUUGCCCUCCUGCAACAUUCAGUACAAAGAACAUGCUCUUCCUUGUCACCUAAAGGAGACACAAGGACUAAGCUUGCUGAUGUGUUUCCCACUUCUUUGUGAAAAA